rnacentral:rRNA from 1 species
GAUGAACGCUAGCUACAGGCUUAACACAUGCAAGUCGAGGGGCAGCACAGUGUAGCAAUACACGGGUGGCGACCGGCGCACGGGUGCGUAACGCGUAUCCAACCUUCCCGAUACUCUUGGAUAGCCUUCCGAAAGGGAGAUUAAUACAAGAUGGUGUUUCACUUUCGCAUGUUAUUGAAACUAAAGAUUUAUCGGUAUCGGAUGGGGAUGCGUGACAUUAGAUAGUAGGCGGGGUAACGGCCCACCUAGUCUACGAUGUCUAGGGGUUCUGAGAGGAAGGUCCCCCCANACUGGAACUGAGACACGGUCCAGACUCCUACGGGAGCAGCAGUGAGGAAUAUUGGGCAAUGGGGCGCAAGUCCCUGACCCAGCAACGCCGCGUGAAGGAAGAAGGUUUCGGAUUGUAAACUUCUGUCCUUGGUGACGAAGGAAGUG